rnacentral:rRNA from 1 species
AACCUGAAACCGUGUGCUUACAAGUAGUCAGAGCCCGUUAAUGGGUGAUGGCGUGCCUUUUGUAGAAUGAACCGGCGAGUUACGAUUUGAUGCAAGGUUAAGCAGUAAAUGUGGAGCCGUAGCGAAAGCGAGUCUGAAUAGGGCGUUUAGUAUUUGGUCGUAGACCCGAAACCAGGUGAUCUACCCUUGGUCAGGUUGAAGUUCAGGUAACACUGAAUGGAGGACCGAACCGACUUACGUUGAAAAGUGAGCGGAUGAACUGAGGGUAGCGGAGAAAUUCCAAUCGAACCUGGAGAUAGCUGGUUCUCUCCGAAAUAGCUUUAGGGCUAGCCUCAAGUGAUGAUUAUUGGAGGUAGAGCACUGUUUGGACGAGGGGCCCCUCUCGGGUUACCGAAUUCAGACAAACUCCGAAUGCCAAUUAAUUUAACUUGGGAGUCAGAACAUGGGUGAUAAGGUCCGUGUUCGAAAGGGAAACAGCCCAGACCACCAGCUAAGGUCCCAAAAUAUAUGUUAAGUGGAAAAGGAUGUGGCGUUGCCCAGACAACUAGGAUGUUGGCUUAGAAGCAGCCAUCAUUUAAAGAGUGCGUAAUAGCUCACUAGUCGAGUGACACUGCGCCGAAAAUGUACCGGGGCUAAACAUAUUACCGAAGCUGUGGAUUGUCCUUUGGACAAUGGUAGGAGAGCGUUCUAAGGGCGUUGAAGCAUGAUCGUAAGGACAUGUGGAGCGCUUAGAAGUGAGAAUGCCGGUGUGAGUAGCGAAAGACGGGUGAGAAUCCCGUCCACCGAUUGACUAAGGUUUCCAGAGGAAGGCUCGUCCGCUCUGGGUUAGUCGGGUCCUAAGCUGAGGCCGACAGGCGUAGGCGAUGGAUAACAGGUUGAUAUUCCUGUACCACCUAUA